GGGGACAUGGCUCAGUGGCAGAGCAUCUGCUUGAUAUGCAGACGGUCCCAGGUUCAAACCCCGGCAUUUCCA